GACGAACGCUGGCGGCGUGCUUAACACAUGCAAGUCGAACGGAAAGGCCCUGCUUUUGUGGGGGGCUCGAGUGGCGAACGGGUGAGUAACACGGGAGUAACCUGCCCUUGACUUUGGGAUAACUUCAGGAAACUGGGGCUAAUACCGGAUAGGAGCUCCUGCUGCAUGGUGGGGGUUGGAAAGUUUCGGCGGUUGGGGAUGGACUCGCGGCUUAUCAGCUUGUUGGUGGGGUAGUGGCUUACCAAGGCUUUGACGGGUAGCCGGCCUGAGAGGGUGACCGGCCACAUUGGGACUGAGAUACGGCCCAGACUCCUACGGGAGGCAGCAGUGGGGAAUAUUGCACAAUGGGCGGAAGCCUGAUGCAGCAACGCCGCGUGCGGGAUGACGGCCUUCGGGUUGUAAACCGCUUUCGCCUGUGACGAAGCGUGAGUGACGGUAAUGGGUAAAGAAGCACCGGCUAACUACGUG
rnacentral:rRNA from 1 species